GAUGAACGCUGGCGGCGUGCCUAACACAUGCAAGUCGAACGGACAUUUUUUGGAAAGCUCUUCGGAACUGGAAUCUAAAUGUUAGUGGCGGACGGGUGAGUAACGCGUGAGCAAUCUGCCUUUCAGAGGGGGAUAACAGCCGGAAACGGCUGCUAAUACCGCAUAAUGCAUUGGAUUCGCAUGUUUCUGAUGCCAAAGAUUUUAUCGCUGAAAGAUGAGCUCGCGUCUGAUUAGCUAGUUGGCGGGUAACGCCCACAAGGCGACGAUCAGUAGCCGGACUGAGAGGUUGAACGGCCACAUUGGGACUGAGACACGGCCCAG
rnacentral:rRNA from 1 species